UAAGGAAUCUUCCACAAUGGGGGCAACCCUGAUGGAGCAACGCCGCGUGAAGGAUGAAGGCCCUAGGGUCGUAAACUUCUUUUGUUAGCGAAGAAUAUGACGGUAACUAACGAAUAAGGGUCGGCUAACUACGUGCCAGCAGCCGCGGUCAUACGUAGGACCCAAGCGUUAUCCGGAGUGACUGGGCGUAAAGAGUUGCGUAGGCGGUCUGUAAAGCGAACAGUGAAAGCUGAUGGCUCAACCAUCAAUACAUUGUUCGAACUCACAGACUCGAGAAUGGUAGAGGUAGCUGGAAUUUCUAGUGUAGGGGUAAUAUCCGUAGAUAUUAGAAGGAACACCAAUGGCGUAGGCAGGCUACUGGACCAUUUCUGACGCUGAGGCACGAAAGCGUGGGGAGCGAA
rnacentral:rRNA from 1 species